CCUACGGGAGGCAGCAGUGAGGAAUAUUGGUCAAUGGGCGUAAGCCUGAACCAGCCAAGUCGCGUGAGGGAUGAAGGUUCUAUGGAUCGUAAACCUCUUUUAUAAGGGAAUAAAGUGCGGGACGUGUCCCGUUUUGUAUGUACCAUAUGAAUAAGGAUCGGCUAACUCCGUGCCAGCAGCCGCGGUAAUACGGAGGAUCCGAGCGUUAUCCGGAAUUAUUGGGUUUAAAGGGAGCGUAGGUGGAUUGUUAAGUCAGUUGUGAAAGUUUGCGGAUCAACCGUAAAAUUGCAGUUGAAACUGGCAGUCCUGAGUACAGUAGAGGUGGGCGGAAUUCGUGGGGUAGCGGUGAAAUGCAUAGAUAUCACGCAGAACUCCGAUUGCGAAGGCAGCAUACCGGCGCCCAACUGACGCUGAAGCACGAAAGCGUGGGUAUCGAACAGGAUUAGAUACCCUUGUAGUC
rnacentral:rRNA from 1 species